UCUUCCCUAUUCAAUUUUGAAGGUUGGAUAAGUGCCUUCCAUGGGUGCAACGGGUAACGGGGAAAUAGGGUUUGAUUUCGGAGAGGGAGCCUGAGAAACGGBUACCACAUCCAAGGAAAGCAGCAGGCGCGCAAAAUACCCAAUCCCGAUCACGGGGAGGUAGGACAAAAAAAUAACAUACAGGGUUCUUUGGGUCUUGUAAUUGGAAUGAGUACAAUCUAAAUCCCUAACGAGAUG
rnacentral:rRNA from 1 species